AGCUAGUUGGUAGGGUAAAGGCCUACCAAGGCAACGAUGGUUAGCUGGUCUGAGAGGAUGAUCAGCCACACUGGAACUGACACACGGUCCAGACUCCUACGGGAGGCAGCAGUGAGGAAUUUUGCGCAAUGGGGGAAACCCUGACGCAGCAACGCCGCGUGAGUGAUGAAGGCCUUCGGGUCGUAAAACUCUGUCAAGUGGGAAGAAAUUGGAAUAGGUUAAUAUCCUAUGUCAUUGACGGUACCACUGAAGGAAGCACCGGCUAACUCCGUGCCAGCAGCCGCGGUAAUACGGGGGGUGCAAGCGUUAUUCGGAAUUAUUGGGCGUAAAGGGCGCGCAGGCGCUUUGUAAGUCAGAUGUGAAAGCCCGGGGCUUAACCCCGGAAGUGCAUUUGAAACUACAAGGCUUGAGUAUGGGAGAGGGAAGUGGAAUUCCUGGUGUAGAGUUGAAAUUCGUAGAUAUCAGGAGGAACAUCGGUGGCGAAGGCGACUUCCUGGACCAAUACUGACGCUGAGGCGCGAAGGCGUGGGGAGCAAACAGGAUUAGAUACCCUGGUAGUCCACGCAGUAAACGGUGAUCACUAGGUGUAGCGGGUAUUGACCCCUGCUGUGCCGGAGCUAACGCAUUAAGUGAUCCGCCUGGGAAGUACGACCGCAAGGUUAAAACUCAAAGGAAUUGACGGGGGCCCGCACAAGCGGUGGAGCAUGUGGUUUAAUUCGACGCAACGCGAAGAACCUUACCUGGAUUUGACAUCUCGGGAAUCAUUUGGAAACAUAUGAGUGCCCUUCGGGGAGCCCGAUGACAGGUGCUGCAUGGCUGUCGUCAGCUCGUGUCGUGAGAUGUUGGGUUAAGUCCCGCAACGAGCGCAACCCUUGUCUUUAGUUACCAUCAUUAAGUUGGGGACUCUAGAGAUACUGCCCCGGUUAACGGGGAGGAAGGUGGGGAUGACGUCAAGUCCUCAUGGCCUUUAUGUCCAGGGCUACACACGUGCUACAAUGGGCUGUACAAAGGGUUGCAACCCCGCGAGGGUGAGCUAAUCCCAUAAAACAGUUCUCAGUUCGAAUUGGAGCCUGCAACUCGACUCCAUGAAGUUGGAAUCGCUAGUAAUCGUGGAUCAGCAUGCCACGGUGAAUACGUUCCCGGGCCUUGUACACACCGCCCGUCACACCAUGAGAGUUGGUUGUACCCGACGUCGCUGGGCUAACCUUUACGGGGAGCAGGCGCCUAAGGUAUGGCUGAUGAUUGGGGUGAAGUCGUAACAAGGUAGCCGUUGGGGAACCAGCGGCUG
rnacentral:rRNA from 1 species